rnacentral:tRNA from 1 species
UGACCGCCAGCUCAGUUGGCAGAGCAUUGGACUAGUAUUCCAAAGGCCGUAGGUUCAAUCCCCAACGUGGCCAG